AAUUCCUACGGGAGGCAGCAGUAGGGAAUCUUCCACAAUGGACGAAAGUCUGAUGGAGCAACGCCGCGUGAGUGAAGAAGGGUUUCGGCUCGUAAAGCUCUGUUGGUAGUGAAGAAAGAUAGAGGUAGUAACUGGCCUUUAUUUGACGGUAAUUACUUAGAAAGUCACGGCUAACUACGUGCCAGCAGCCGCGGUAAUACGUAGGUGUCAAGCGUUGUCCGGAUUUAUUGGGCGUAAAGCGAGUGCAGGCGGGUCAAUAAGUCUUAUGGUAAAGCCUUCGGCCCAA
rnacentral:rRNA from 1 species